CUGAGACACUGACAAGAACCAUAUUUAGAGUGGUUUGAUAAAAGGAAAAUGAAUGCUCAUCUGUAGAUUUAGAAGCCCAGGAAGAUAGUUGUUCAUAAAUCAACAAGCACACUUACUUUGACACACAAGACUUUGUGGUCUACCCAAGCAACCAAGACCAGCUGAAGCUCCAGGGCUCCGGACCUCUCGCCACUACAUAGAUAUUUAUGGAUGGUGAUAUUUGUGACUAUACACCCUUGAAUACAUUCAACUAGUGGGUGAUAAGAUGGAAAGCUGUUGUCAUCAACUGGUGACUGGAUAAAAGAAACGAUGAAACAGAGUUGAAAUAAAUGGACAUUCUGGCGUGAUGUCAAAGUGGAGUUCACCAAAUUUCAGGGCUGGUGCUGGUGUUUUUUAAUCUGCUAUGGUUAACUGGUGAAGAUCCCUUGUUUGUUGAGGAUGCCAAAUUUUCAAAGUAGUAAAAUCAACAAGAUACUGUGAAGAACUCCAAAAUACAUCUCCAGACUGAUUUUGCUUGUUAGAAGGUUGCAAAAGGUGAUCACAUAACUCCAGGAUGCUGCAACUGUCAUAAAUAUGUAAGGAAACCCAGGCCUGAACAGAGUGGCUGAUAAUUGUGGGGGAUUCCUGACUGCAAUGUUAUGUUUGGGGACGAAGGUUUCAAUAGCAACCUGGCUGAUGCUUCACUACAAAGUGUCUUUGGCAGGAAAUAUAAACAAACAGCAUUUCCUGUAUGUCAGCCAAAACUCAGAAAUAUCAUAUCAAAAAUAGUUUACCAUCCUUCAUCUCCCUCUAUUCCUGGGCAGAGAAUCAAAUGCCAAUUUCAACUAGUUUUAGGUUUAUCCCUCCUCCUUUUGAAUAAUGUUAUGUUUGCCCCAAACAACCUUGGAGCUGGGCACUUUGGCCUUCUCCACCAGCCAAAUUCACUCCAAAACAGGCAACAAGUCAACAAGAGAUUAUGUCCACAUGCUUCGUCUGUGGAUCAUCCAGCUAGAUAGCUUCUGUGACUGUCAGUAAGGAUAAUUUAAGCACAUGCCAACAAGAAAGGGCCAAUAUAAAACCUACAAGAUAUAUUGUGUAUUCUAUUUUUUUUACUUUGGAUGCCCCAGAAAUACCUUACUAAGAAGCAUAUAAUACAAACUGCUUUCCUUACUUUCCAGGCACAUUUAUAGAACAGCAGGGUUAUUAUGGUUAGUUGAACAUCUAAUUACAGAUUACAGAUUACCAGAGUUGGAAGGGACCUUGCAGGUCAUCUAGUCCAACCUCCCACCCAAGCAGGAGACCCUGCAAGAUUUCUGACAAAAGGCAGUCCAAUCUCUUCUUGAAAGUUUCAAGUGAUGAAGAUCCCACAACUGCUGAAGGCAAGCUGUUCCAUUGGUUGAUUGUUCUGUCAGAAAAUUUCUCCUUAUUUCCAGGUUAAAUCUCUCCUUGUUCAGUUUCUGUUUUUCCUUGUCUGGCCUACAGGUGCUUUAGAAAAUAGCUUGACCCCUUUCUUUCUAUGGCAGUCCCUCAAAUAUUGGAAGACUGCUAUCAUGUCCUUCUCUUCACUAGACUAACAAUGCCCAGUUCCUAUAACCGUUCUUCACGUUUUAGUCUCCAGUCACCUAAUCAUCCUGGUUGCUCUUCUCUGCACAUUUUUUAGCGUCUCAACACUUCUUUUUUAUAGUAUGGUGACCAAAACUGCAUGCAGUAAUGUAGGUGUGGUCUUACUAAUGCUUUAUAGAGUGGUAUUAGUACCUCAUUUGAACUUGAUUGCAUCCCUCUAUUAAUGCAAUUUAGCAUUGGCUUUUUUUGCUGCCACUGCACACUACUCGCUCGUAUUUAGCUCAUUGUCCACUAAGACUCCAAGCCUCCUCUCACAGUUAUUGCUAUUAAGCCUGGUUUUACCCAGUCUAUAUGUGUAUAUUUCUCUACAUUGAAUUUCAUUUUGUUAAAUAGGGCCCAGUGUUUAAGUCUGUCAAGAUCCAUGUGGAUCUUAAGCCUAUUUUCUAGAGUGUUAGCUAUUCCUGCCAGCAUUUGCAGAUUUAGUAAAUUCCCCUUCUAUUCUCUCAUCUAAGUCGUUCAUGAAGAUAUUGAAGAGUACUGGGCCUAAGACUGAACCUUGUGGUACCCCACUGCUUACUUCCCUCCAUGUAGACUUAGACCCAUUAAGGAUUACUCGUUGAGUAUGGUUUGUCAGCCAAUUGCGAGUCCAUCUCGCAAGUGAUGCUUUUUAACCCAGUUUUCCGUAGCUUACUAAGAAAUAGUUUGUGAUAUACUUUGUUGAAUGUCUUGCUGAAGUCUAAUCCCUUUUAGUGUACAAUUUAAAAUCAGUAUGAGUUCUUUUUUCCUUUGAAAUGCAUUUCAAUAAUUGUAUUUUUUUCACUGAGCUAGAAUGUCUGCAGGCUCUGGUCAAAAAAGUCAGGAUGCUGCUGCAACCAUGUAAUCAAAACUUUUGUUGUGUUUUUAGGUGUUGCACAUAACAAAUAAAUGGAAUUUUGAUUGCACUGUUUGAUUGUGUUGGCUACACGUGCGCACGUGCACACACACUUACACAAAGCAAACAGUUUGCAGUCAGGUAACAACAAAUUGGAAGACUUCCAAGCGGGGAAAAAAGUAAUCAACUCAAGCUUGAACAUAUUUUGUGAGAUUAAAUAUGUUAAAUUGUAUCUUCUAAUAAUAUCAACAUGGCAAAUCCAAAAAUGUGUUAGUGCCCAAGUGGUAGUCUUUCAUUUUUAUAUAGGUUCCCUUCAAUUGGAACAUUAAGGAUUGCAAAUACCAUGAAAAGACAGAAGAACUAAACGUGUCUUCAGUAAAAUUCCUAAACGUAUCUAUGAAACACUGCAUGGACAAUCCGAAUUAAUGAAUGGACCAGUUUUUAUAUUGUCCCGUUUCACAUGAACGGAUCCAAAUCUGGUUCUUCAGGAACUUGUCUGCAUAAUACUCAUAAGCAAUUAGAUCUGCUCCUUAUAUAAGGUAGGACAGCCACUGACAAUUUAACCACUUAAAAAAAUAAAAGCAGUAAUUUAUUUUUCUAGACCAUUAUUAACCUUUGAAUGGUAGAAGUACACUCCCCAAAAUUUAGGAAAAAUUAAAGUUAAGUUCAUUCACAUUCAAUAAGAAUUCAUUAUAGUUACUAUGUAAUAUUGCUAACAUAGUGUAAGCCACCCCGAGUCUUCGGAGAAGGGCGGGAUAUAAAUGCAAAUAAAAAAUAAUAAUAUUACUACUCAGAAAAACUGAAUUGUUUUUCUGUCUCAUUAAAAAUAACUGUAUGAUCACUUUAGGAAAUUGUUCAGGGUGUGCCUAAGCCUCCGGAUUGUGAAAACCAUGAAAAUCCAGCAGGCAUCCACGUAUGUCAGAAUUUCAAAAAAUUCAGUAUGCAUGUUGAAAUUGGCAUUCUCUCUUUAGAACAAGCAUUUCGUAUGUUCAGUGAUAAACUACCUGUAAACAAACAGGCUUUAUAUAAGAACAGUUUGUACAUAUGUAUAUGUUUGUGUGCACCUACACAUAUUUAUAUAUGUAUAUAAAAAAGAAACUGAGAUGUGCACAUCAAAUAAAUAGAAAUCUAUGUUUGUCUUAUCUGACCACUGAUAAGAUAUAGUAAAUUGCCCUGCAAAAUAAUCCUAAAACAAAAUGAAUUAUAUGAGUGCUAUGCUUCUAAUUUGCAAGCUGUGAAAAAUAGGGAAAAAUGCAAAAGAAGAUUCUUGUUUAAAUACAAUCCACAUAAUAUUUAACACAUCUUUUAACUCUUCCACAAUUUAAUGUUACACGUUAUAUUGCAUAAUAAGAAAUACUUUUCUUUUAGAAUAUUAAAAUAUAUCUAGAAUUUAAUUAUGAUGUGUGCUAAGAAAAAAACCACUAAUUUUUGACAAUUGAACAAUCUCUAUUUCAAACGGAAAUGGAGAAGAUGGUGGGGAAAGACACUAAAACCAAGAUGCAUAGGCAGGAGGGAAAAUUAGCAUAGUUCUGCAAAUACUGUAUAUAAGUAUGAAGUUGAUAUAAGAUUUCCCACAUGUAAAGUCUCUAUGACACAAAUGGAAAUGAAGCAAUGGAGCUGGUGUCAUUCCCCCCACCCUCCAAAAAAAAAACAAA